AGACCCGAAACCCGGUGAUCUAGCCAUGGGCAGGUUGAAGGUUGGGUAACACUAACUGGAGGACCGAACCGACUAAUGUUGAAAAAUUAGCGGAUGACCUGUGGCUGGGGGUGAAAGGCCAAUCAAACCGGGAGAUAGCUGGUUCUCCCCGAAAGCUAUUUAGGUAGCGCCUCGUGAAUUCAUCUCCGGGGGUAGAGCACUGUUUCGGCUAGGGGGCCAUCCCGGCUUACCAACCCGAUGCAAACUGCGAAUACCGGAGAAUGUUAUCACGGGAGACACACGGCGGGUGCUAACGUCCGUCGUGAAGAGGGAAACAACCCAGACCGCCAGCUAAGGUCCCAAAGUCAUGGUUAAGUGGGAAACGAUGUGGGAAGGCCCAGACAGCCAGGAUGUUGGCUUAGAAGCAGCCAUCAUUUAAAGAAAGCGUAAUAGCUCACUGGUCGAGUCGGCCUGCGCGGAAGAUGUAACGGGGCUAAACCAUGCACCGAAGCUGCGGCAGCGACACUGUGUGUUGUUGGGUAGGGGAGCGUUCUGUAAGCCUGCGAAGGUGUGUCGUGAGGCAUGC
rnacentral:rRNA from 1 species